rnacentral:rRNA from 1 species
GAGUUUGAUCCUGGCUCAGAACGAACGCUGGCGGCAGGCUUAACACAUGCAAGUCGAGCGCCCCGCAAGGGGAGCGGCAGACGGGUGAGUAACGCGUGGGAACGUACCCUUUUCUACGGAAUAACGCAUGGAAACGUGUGCUAAUACCGUAUGUGCCCUUCGGGGAAAGAUUUAUCGGAAAGGAUCGGCCCGCGUUGGAUUAGCUAGUUGGUGGGGUAAAGGCCUACCAAGGCGACGAUCCAUAGCUGGUCUGAGAGGAUGAUCAGCCACAUUGGGACUGAGACACGGCCCAAACUCCUACGGGAGGCAGCAGUGGGGAAUAUUGGACAACGGGCGCAAGCCUGAUCCAGCCAUGCCGCGUGAGUGAUGAAGGCCCUAGGGUUGUAAAGCUCUUUCACCGGUGAAGAUAAUGACGGUAACCGGAGAAGAAGCCCCGGCUAACUUCGUGCCAGCCGCCGCGGUAAC